CAAUACGACGUGAUUCACCACCAACUGCCAGAAGCAUUGCGUAUUUUUACACUCAAUCCUCAUGGAAGGACACACAAAAACUUUUAGCUCAAACUUGAGUUCAUUUUGUUCGUCUUAAUGACGGUAAACAUUUGUUACAUUUCAGUUGUGAUCCAUAAUAAAAUAUCGCUACUAGAUUUUUUGUAUUCAUACUAGAAUUUUUUUAAACUAAGUUCAACUAUUAAAAAAAAAGGAGUAAACAAAAUAUGGGAAUGACGUGAUACGCUUUUUAACUUAUGAUAAUGACUAACUCUUGGUUAAAGGUUUUCGCGGUGACUAUUUACAGCACACGAGGAAAUUUAUCGGAUAAUUUAAGGUCUAUAUACACGCGCAGGCGCACCUCUGCUUUUAUUCCCUCUUUAUACGACCAUGCGAUUAUUGAUCGUCUUUAACUGACUGGAGGGUAGCUCUCCCUUUUCGUGGUCACCCGGAAUUUACUAAGUUAAGAUGUCAGAAAAAGAAAGAUAGAGAAGCCCAACAUAUGCGCAAGAACCGAUAAAAAAUCGACAGGAUUUACGAAUGAGUGCGCACGAGCCAAUUAUGACGCAUGUCAGCAAAAUGACAAUCAUGAUUGUGACUCAUUACCAGAAAGUAAUUGAAAGGUCACAAGGUUAAAGUGGAGGUCUACUGCGAAUAAAUUCUAAGACUACGGCACGUGCAUCUUUUGUCACACGUGGAGAAGGUGCUGGUGUUUUUUU